rnacentral:rRNA from 1 species
UACGAAGGGGGCUAGCGUUGCUCGGAAUCACUGGGCGUAAAGAGCUCGUAGGCGGCUUGUCGCGUCGACUGUGAAAUCCCGCGGCUCAACUGCGGGUCUGCAGUCGAUACGGGCAGGCUAGAGUUCGGUAGGGGAGACUGGAAUUCCUGGUGUAGCGGUGAAAUGCGCAGAUAUCAGGAAGAACACCCGUGGCUAAGGCGGCUCUCUAGUACGGUACUGACGCUGAGACGCGAAAGCGUGGGGAGCGAACAGG